UACGGAGGGUGCAAGCGUUAAUCGGAAUUACUGGGCGUAAAGCGCACGCAGGCGGUUUUUUAAGUCAGAUGUGAAAUCCCCGGGCUCAACCUGGGAACUGCAUUUGAUACUGGAAAGCUUGAGUCCCGAAGAGGGGAGUAGAAUUCCAGGUGUAGCGGUGAAAUGCGUAGAGAUCUGGAGGAAUACCAGUGGCGAAGGCGGCCCCCUGGUCGAAGACUGACGCUGAGGUGCGAAAGCGUGGGGAGCAAACAGG
rnacentral:rRNA from 1 species